AGGUAGAUAGGGCAGAGGUGGAAGUGCAGUAAUGUAUGGAGCUGACUGCUACUAAUAGGUCGAAGGCUUAACCAAA
rnacentral:rRNA from 1 species